rnacentral:rRNA from 1 species
AUGCUUGGCCCACUUGUCGCCGUCGAUGCUGGCGAGGCCUUCGGCGAGCAGCUUGGACAGCGCCGGAAGCUUGGUCUUCUCGAAGUGGCCGAACUUGUUGGACAUGACGUCUUUGGCGAGGUCGGGGUCGCUGAUGGUGACCUUGGGGAUCGGGCCGACCCAAGAGAAGCACGUCCUCCCGUGUUCCUGAACGGCGUUGUAGAGGAAAGGCGCGACAUGGGCGGAGAUGUCGUGGCACCCCAGCGGCAAGGGCCUCGCCCAGGCCUCCUUGUGCACCCGGCCGUACUCCUUGAGGUCGCCGACGGGGAAGCGGUAGGGCGUGCCGCGGAGGCCCUGCGCUCUGAGCUCGCGCUCCAGCCGCCGCGGCCGCAGCCACAGCAUGUCUAG